ACUCAUGGGCAGUAUUGAUGAUAUCCUCAUGAUGAUAUCGCCGCAAAUUUGAAACGCGCAUGUUGGCGCAAUAUUUGUGGACUGAGAAAAUCAGUGAUGAGCUAUAUCAAAUAGAAUGCCUCCUAGACUUUGGUAGUCCAAUAACGUUCAUUAAAGAAUCAACUGUCCCUGAAGGAUCAAAAAUAC